rnacentral:lncRNA from 1 species
CCUCACAUACUGUCUGUACAGGAUUCCCCGGAGUGGCAGGUAAAUAUGUUUAUAGUAUUUCUAAUGUACCAAGGUCCUUCCCCCGGCUACCCACCAUAUCGCUCAAACCGAUGGUUGUUCUCCUCUCUGUCUGUCUGGGGCGAUGAAAACUCACACACACGCACACACACACACACACACACACACACACACACAACACACACACACACACACACACACGCAACAUACACACACACACACACACACACGCAACAUUGUGAUUGGUUAGUGUUGUAAUAUACUCAACAGGAAGUGACCAACAGGUACUGGGUUGUGAUUGGUUAGUGUUGUAAUAUACUCAACAGGAAGUGACCAACAGGUACUGGGUUGUGAUUGGUUAGUGUUGUAAUAUACUCAACAGGAAGUGAACAAUAGGUACUGGGUUGUGAUUGGUUAGUGUUGUAAUAUACUCAACAGGAAGUGACCAAUAGGUACUGGGUUGUGAUUGGUUAGUGUUGUAAUAUACUCAACAGGAAGUUGACUGUACCCGUCUGGCCGGACUAGAUUAAAGGGUGGAAAGAUCUCAUCUAUAGUAAAAGCAUUGCAUGAAUAUAUCAUCGUAUUUUGUAUUUUUCUUUCAUUGUAAAUAAUUGUACAUAUUAGCGGAAUAUUGUUUUAAGGCUAUUUAAAGAGUGGGGAGGAGGAAUUAACCGACAGAUCUGUGAACAUAGCAGCCUAUAGUCUAAUGUAGUCUGUCUAAUAGGUAAUAGCCCCCCACACCACUAGAGGUCUAAUAGGUCUAAUAGGACUAACUACCUCUUCUUUCUUUCGUAAGGUCUAAUUAAAACGAAGACGGUUUAAAUUAAUUGUUGCUCUAAUCUGCCUCCUUUCAACACCACGAGCUGUCCGUUUCUGAUCGAUCGUGUCGACGUAAAUUACUAGAAUCUGGCUUAUCGUGAGAUCAAUAACUCUGAUAAAUACAUUACGG